AUGGCGGAGCGGGCGCCGGAGCCCGAGGCGGAGGCGGAGGCUGAGGCGGGCGCAGGCGGGGAGGCGGCGGCCGAGGAGGGCGCGGCGGGCCGCAAGGCGCGGGGUCGGCCGCGGCUCACGGAAUCGGACCGAGCCCGGCGGCGGCUCGAGUCCCGGAAGAAGUACGACGUGCGGCGUGUGUACCUGGGCGAGGCGCACGGGCCCUGGGUGGACCUGCGGCGCCGCAGCGGCUGGAGCGACGCCAAGCUCGCAGCCUAUCUCAUCUCGCUGGAGCGCGGCCAGCGUAGCGGCCGCCACGGGAAGCCUUGGGAGCAGGUCCCCAAAAAGCCAAAGCGGAAGAAAAGGAGGCGACGCAACGUCAACUGCCUGAAGAACGUGGUGAUCUGGUACGAGGACCACAAGCACCGCUGCCCGUACGAGCCGCACCUGGCCGAGCUGGACCCCACCUUCGGCCUGUACACCACAGCCGUGUGGCAGUGCGAGGCCGGCCACCGCUACUUCCAAGACCUGCACUCGCCCCUGAAGCCACUCAGUGAUUCAGACGCCGACAGCGACAAAGUGGGCAAUGGCCUGGCGGCCAGCAGCUCCGACCCUUCUAGUUCCGGCUCUGGUUCUGACUCGGAGGAGCCCCCCGAGGGCCCGCCGGCCAAGGGAGCGGCCGUGGCGGCGGCGGCGGUGACCCCCUCCAGCCCGGCGGGCAGCAGCGGGCUCAUCACUCAGGAGGGCGUGCACAUCCCCUUCGACGUCCACCACGUGGAGAGCCUGGCGGAGCAGGGCGCCCCGCUGUGCCCCAACCCGGCGGGCAGUGGGCCCGAAGCCCUGGAGACGGUGGUGUGUGUGCCGGUGCCCGUGCAAGUGGGCCCGGGCCCCGGCACCCUCUUUGAGAACGUGCCCCAGGAGGCGCUGGGCGAGGUGGUGGCCAGCUGUCCCGUGCCAGGCAUGGUGCCCGGCUCGCAGGUGAUCAUCAUCGCAGGCCCCGGCUACGACGCCCUCACGGCCGAGGGCAUCCACCUCAACGUGGCAGCAGGCAGCGGUGCCCCCGGCGGGGGCCUGGGGGACGAAGUGCCCUGUGCCGUGAUGGAGGGCGUAGCAGCCUACACCCAGACGGAGCCCGAGGGCAGCCAGCCCAGCACCAUGGACCCUGCCGCCGUGGCAGGCAUCGAGACCAAGAAAGAGAAGGAGGACCUGUAUGUGCUCAAGGAGGAGGAGAAGGAGGAGCCCGUGGCCCCAGAGCUGGCGGCGGCAGCGCCCGAGAGCGCAGAGCCCGAAGCCGAGGCAGACGGGGAGGAGCUGGACGGCAGUGACAUGUCGGCCAUCAUCUAUGAGAUCCCCAAGGAGCCCGAGAAGAGGCGGCGGAGCAAGCGCACUCGGGUGAUGGAUGCCGACGGCCUGCUAGAGAUGUUCCACUGCCCCUACGAGGGCUGCAGCCAGGUCUAUGUGGCCCUCAGCAGUUUCCAGGUGAGGCCGCCACCCGAGCUGGCCGAGCGGGGCCCGCCUCUGUUUCCCGCCGCCUGUGUGCUGGCGUCUGGGCAGUGUGGCUCGUGGAGGGCGCCGCUUGGCCCCGCCAGGUGCCACUGGCCUGCCUCCCACGGGGCUGUCUCUCAGCAGCUUCUCACCGACCCUGCCUCAGCCACAGGGCACCAGGCGUCACCUCGCCGCCUUCCCCUCCUGCUCUCCAGUGACUUGUCCUGCCUUCUCAACCAGCCUCUCAACUCCUCCUGCCUUUACCCAGGCCACCUUCUCGGCUCAGGAUGCCCCCUCCCCCAGGAAGCCCACCCUAGUCCCCCAGGGCAGGUGGGGCCUUUGAGCCCCGGAUGACCGCACCACCAGGACACGCCUGUAGUUUGUCCUCUGGAGCCUGGACGGGACGUCCCAAGGGCAGAGCCAGGGUCUCGUCACGUUCCCACUGGUGGCAGGAGGCGGCACCAGUGGCCCUUUGCAUUUGCCGAGUUUCGUUUUCAUUAAGCAUGUAUCGAGCACCCACCAGGUGCCAGGCCCGGUGGUGCCGGGCACUUGGAGCUGCAGGGGUGCCGCAGGGAACCAUGUCAAUCUUGUGCACCGGAAAGGGAAGACCAAAGUGUGUCCACACCCUGGCUGCGGCAAGAAGUUCUAUUUAUCCAACCACCUGCGGCGGCACAUGAUCAUCCA